rnacentral:tRNA from 1 species
GAUGUGGCUCAGUGGUAGAGCACCUGCCUAUAAAGCACUAGGCACUGAGUUCAAACCCCAGUCAUAUUA